rnacentral:rRNA from 14 species
GGCUUCUUAGAGGGACUAUCGGUGCGAGCCGGUGGAAGUUUAAGGCAAAAACAGGUCUGUGAUGCCCUUAGAUGUUCUGGGCCGCACGCGCGCUACACUGACAAAGACAGCAAGUUGCCCUGCGCCGGAAGGCGUGGGAAAUCUUUGAACCUUUGUCGUGAUGGGGACAGAUCUUUGCAAUUAUGGAUCUCCAACGAGGAAUGCCUAGUAAGCGCAAGUCAUCAGCUUGCGUUGAUUACGUCCCUGCCUUUUGUACACACCGCCCGUCGCUAGAACCGAUUGAAUGGUUUAGUGAGGUCUCCGGACUGUGCCUUUUGGAGUGUUUACAUUCCUUCGGGCGCGGAAAGUUGAACAAACUUGGUCAUUUAGAGGAUCUAAAAGUCGUAACAAGGUUUCCGUAGGUGAACCUGCGGAAGGAUCAUU